rnacentral:rRNA from 1 species
GUUAGGAAUAUUGGACAAUGGGCGCAAGCCUGAUCCAGCCAUGCCGCGUGAGUGAUGAAGGCCUUCGGGUUGUAAAGCUCUUUAGCCGAUGAUUAUAAUGACUGUAGUCGGAAAAUAAGCCCCGGCUAACUUCGUGCCAGCAGCCGCGGUAAUACGAAGGGGGCGAGCGUUAUUCGGAAUCACUGGGCGUAAAGCGUGCGUAGGCGGCUUUGCAAGUUGGGAGUGAAAGCCCAGGGCUCAACCCUGGAAUUGCUCUCAAGACUGCAAGGCUCGAAUUCGGGAGAGGAUAGCGGAAUUGUCAGUGUAGCAGUGAAAUGCGUAGAUAUUGACAGGAACACCAGUGGCGUAAGCGGCUAUCUGGACCGAUAUUGACGCUGAGGCACGAAAGCGUGGGGAUCAAACAGGAUUAGAUACCCCAGUAGUCC